AAGUACCACAGUUGAAAUUGGAUGCAUUCGGUAAAUACACUUGGUAGUCUCCCUUGUAGAGAUAUGCAGAGGCGCUCAAGUGGUUGCGGGAUCAUCUUAAGCAUGGUGGCAUUGUAUUGGAACCUUAACCUUGGAAGUCGUAUGUAAGCAACUGUCAAGUUUCUGAGAGAACGACAAUCAAUUUUAAGAAUAUUAUUUUACGUCCUGAACAUUUUCUGGAAAUACUUCUGGAUAAGGUAUGUUAGUUGAUCUAAUCUAGCAUUGGUACAGAAG